ACUAUCCUUGCUCAUUCAGGAACUAGCUGAAUGGUCACCAGAAUUGUUUGCGAAAUUACCUGAAUUUUCUUACCAUCACAAGCACUUCGAUUACUUGUGGUAAUUGCAUGUUCAGACAUUU
rfam:Tetrahymena thermophila SB210 genomic scaffold scf_8254444, whole genome shotgun sequence.